rfam:Burkholderia xenovorans LB400 chromosome 1, complete sequence.
CUGAUUAUUAGCAUCAUUCAUCGAAUGGUGGGUUAGCGCGCGUCGGAUAGCAGUGACACAUAACCCGCCACCUGAGGCGGGUUUU